AGGAAGACUAGGAGAACAAGGUGGACGAGGAAGACGAGGGUUUGUGCUCGGAAAGUCCGUCAAUGGAACGGUCUGUUGACUCCGAAGGAUCUCUACUGGAUGUGGAUGAAACUUUGGAAAGAAGUAAGGAGAUUCUAGGAUCACCAUUCUACGAAGAAAAACUGCGUCAGCUGUCAACUGGCCAAUUAAUUAACAGAGCUUCUCGGUGAAAUGGAAUCCUUGGUCGGAGCGCUCAGCGAAACUUUAAUAGCUGAGUAUUAUUAUUAUUAAUAUUAGCUUACUUUUGUAAGUAUUUAUGAUUAUAGCCUCCAUGAAUAUUCAUUGUUGGUAUAUAAGGUCUGGCAACGUACCUACUUUCUGUGAGAGAUGUUAAAGAUUUUCAACACAAUUAUGUUUCAGUUCUGUGCCACACCUAGUGAUCCACUAGUACAUAUCCUCCGACGUGACAUCGCUGUGCUA